rnacentral:rRNA from 1 species
GGGUUGUGAGGUUAAGCGACUAAGCGUACACGGUGGAUGCCCUGGCAGUCAGAGGCGAUGAAGGACGUGCUAAUCUGCGAUAAGCGUCGGUAAGGUGAUAUGAACCGUUAUAACCGGCGAUUUCCGAAUGGGGAAACCCAGUGUGAUUCGUCACACUAUCAUUAACUGAAUCCAUAGGUUAAUGAGGCGAACCGGGGGAACUGAAACAUCUAAGUACCCCGAGGAAAAGAAAUCAACCGAGAUUCCCCCAGUAGCGGCGAGCGAACGGGGAGCAGCCCAGAGCCUGAAUCAGUGUGUGUGUUAGUGGAAGCGUCUGGAAAGGCGCGCGAUACAGGGUGACAGCCCCGUACACAAAAAUGCACAUAUUGUGAGCUCGAUGAGUAGGGCGGGACACGUGGUAUCCUGUCUG